rnacentral:rRNA from 1 species
AUAAUGGGUCAGCGACUUAUAUUCUGUAGCAAGGUUAACCGAAUAGGGGAGCCGAAGGGAAACCGAGUCUUAACUGGGCGUUAAGUUGCAGGGUAUAGACCCGAAACCCGGUGAUCUAGCCAUGGGCAGGUUGAAGGUUGGGUAACACUAACUGGAGGACCGAACCGACUAAUGUUGAAAAAUUAGCGGAUGACUUGUGGCUGGGGGUGAAAGGCCAAUCAAACCGGGAGAUAGCUGGUUCUCCCCGAAAGCUAUUUAGGUAGCGCCUCGUGAAUUCAUCUCCGGGGGUAGAGCACUGUUUCGGCAAGGGGGUCAUCCCGACUUACCAACCCGAUGCAAACUGCGAAUACCGGAGAAUGUUAUCACGGGAGACACACGGCGGGUGCUAACGUCCGUCGUGAAGAGGGAAACAACCCAGACCGCCAGCUAAGGUCCCAAAGUCAUGGUUAAGUGGGAAACGAUGUGGGAAGGCCCAGACAGCCAGGAUGUUGGCUUAGAAGCAGCCAUCAUUUAAAGAAAGCGUAAUAGCUCACUGGUCGAGUCGGCCUGCGCGGAAGAUGUAACGGGGCUAAACCAUGCACCGAAGCUGCGGCAGCGACGCUGAUGCGUUGUUGGGUAGGGGAGCGUUCUGUAAGCCUGUGAAGGUGUGCUGUGAGGCAUGCUGGAGGUAUCAGAAGUGCGAAUGCUGACAUAAGUAACGAUAAAGCGGGUGAAAAGCCCGCUCGCCGGAAGACCAAGGGUUCCUGUCCAACGUUAAUCGGGGCAGGGUGAGUCGACCCCUAAGGCGAGGCCGAAAGGCGUAGUCGAUGGGAAACAGGUUAAUAUUCCUGUACUUGGUGUUACUGCGAAGGGGGGACGGA